UACGAAGGGGGCUAGCGUUGCUCGGAAUUACUGGGCGUAAAGCGCACGUAGGCGGUCUUUUAAGUCGGGGGUGAAAUCCUGGAGCUCAACUCCAGAACUGCCUUCGAUACUGAAAGACUUGAGUCCGGGAGAGGUGAGUGGAACUGCGAGUGUAGAGGUGAAAUUCGUAGAUAUUCGCAAGAACACCAGUGGCGAAGGCGGCUCACUGGCCCGGUACUGACGCUGAGGUGCGAAAGCGUGGGGAGCAAACAGGGAUUAAGAAACCCGAGUGAAC
rnacentral:rRNA from 1 species